AUUAUAUGGAAUUAUGAUGACUGGUUUGUUUUGUGCUCCUUUUCCAAUGCCUUCUGAUCAUUCUGUUUGGCUUUUGUCUUCUCCUGAGCUCCAGUACCUGUCAAGAGACCAUUUGUGAUUGGCAAAAGAUAACAGGAGAUAAGUAUGAAAGAACAGAGAAGAGGAUUCAAAACAAAGCAGUGAUCAUGGACACUGAUAGUCCAGAAGUCAAGUUUUUGUUCAGUUAUGUUUUCUGCACACAAGGAUUCUCACCCUCUCAACAGAAAGCGCAGCUAGACCCAUCAGAUGGCACUCCUACAAGGGAUUUCUGAGCCUCCCUCCGCCCUGUCCAUUUCCCCCCUGCCAAGCAGGGUGGUGUGACAGAGGCAGCUCCAAGGACAAGUCAUUUAUUUCUCUGCACUGUCUGGCCCCGCCACACCCGGCUCUGGGACAGAGGGCCCCUGCAGCAACUUUAUUUGUAGCCUUUCCUUCGCUGAAGUCAAUGACAAAGAUGGCUGGCAAAUCCGAGGCUCUGUUGCUUCUCAUUCCCAGCAAGCCAUGAAGUGCUCAGUGGUACGUGGCUCAGUGAAGCAAUCGAGUUUUCAGAGAGUGCUGUGUGUGAUUUUUAAUUCUUUAACCCUGCAGUUUUCUAAGCUGUGGUUCAGUACUAAA